CAUUGCUUGGGUUAGAUUAUUCUGGUAAUUAUCAGAUUAGACUUUUUGGAGAGUGAGCAAGUGUUGCUUGCUUAGUAUCCAAGACUAAAUCAUAACAUAAUAUAGAAUCCAAAUUAAGCUUCUUCUAAGAUCUUUCAAAUUGAUGCAUCAGAAAAAGUGAAGAAGAAGAAGGAGAAAAUGGCGGAAGAAAAAGAAUCAACGUCGAUUCCUCUCAGUCAAGCUGAUAAUGUCUCUUGCGAAGAUCCCGAAGAUCCAGCUAAAUCUCCACCUACCUCUCCCAACUCUUCUACUCGCAGGGCCUGCUGCUUUGUUCUUCAGAGUUGGGUCUCAAAGAAAUUUAUGACUGGAAUUGUUGUUCUAUUCCCAGUUGCAGUUACCUUUUUUAUUACAUGGUGGUUUAUUCAGUUUGUUGAUGGUUUCUUUAGUCCGCUAUACUCUAGUUUUGGCAUUGAAAUAUUUGGACUUGGUUUUAUUACAUCGCUAGCUUUUGUAUUUGUUAUUGGUGUUUUUGUUUCGUCGUGGAUGGGGGCCACUGUCUUCUGGAUUGGAGAAUGGUUAAUAAAGCAAAUGCCCCUUGUCAGACAUAUUUAUUCUGCAUCCAAGCAGAUUAGUGCUGCAAUUUCUCCAGAUCAAAAUACCACUGCCUUUAAAGAGGUAGCAAUUAUCCGUCAUCCGCGUGUUGGUGAAUAUGCUUUUGGCUUCAUUACAUCAACUGUUACUUUACAGAUUUUAUCAUUUUUCCUCCUUCCCAGCAAGAAAAUGAAGACGAAGAGCUCUGUAGUGUUUUUGUCCCUACAAACCAUCUGUACAUUGGGGAUAUAAUUUUGGUUAACUCCAAAGAUGUAAUAAGACCAAAUCUUUCCAUUCGAGAAGGCAUCGAAAUCAUUGUUUCUGGAGGAAUGACAAUGCCACAGUUGAUAUCUCCCAUUGAAAGAGUUGCUCGGCCGAAUGAGAGAAUAUCUUUGAACAGAAUUGGUUAAAGGAAUGAAACCGCGGCUUAAGAUUGAUUUGUAGUUAUCGUUCAUUAUACCAUGCAUGACUCAUAAGUUGAUGAGAAUUGUAUUCUGAACCUCCUUGUGAUGGAGUUUGUAUACGAAAGUUGUUAUAUAUUUGUAGUUUCUAUCGAAGUUGAAAAAAGAGCAAGAUACAAUGUAGUUAUUACAAUAUUUUUAUCAUUUUCUUAUACUUUCA